rnacentral:piRNA from 1 species
AGAAGCGGGGGGAGGGGGGGGUUUGGUA